rnacentral:rRNA from 1 species
CCCUUAGAUGUUCUGGGCGGCCCGCGCACUACACUGGCACUCUCAAUCAGAGCCUGGAUCUAACACUUUGGGGUAUUCUAUGAAGUGGUGUCGUGACUGGGAUUAACCCUUGCAAUUAUUUGUUACGAACGAGGAAUUCCUUGUAAUCGCGGUUUAUCAGCCCGCGUUGAAUGCGUCCCUGCCCUUUGUACACACCGCCCGUCGCUCCUACCGAUGGAUCGUCCGGUGAAGCUCAUGGAGGGGCGGUUGUCUCAGCUGCCGUCGAAGUGAAAUGGACCUCACGAUCUAGAGGAAGGAGAAGUCGUAACA